CCGAUAUACGUUUUUUAUACAUAGGUUUUGGGGGUAGACUAAUCUAGUCAUUUCGUUCGAAACACCUCGAAAUAUUGAUCAGCGACCCAAAACGUAUACAUAUUCUUGGCCGUCUUUACUGAAAUUUUUCACAUAUGUUUCCUAUUGAUGUGGGUCGUUGGGAAUGGCCAAUGGGCCAUAUCGGUUCAGAUUUGGAUAUAGCCCCCAUAUUAAUCGUCCUUCCAGUUGAUUUUGGGGGAUCUAUAAUCCGCAAUUUUUAUCUGAUUUGGCUGAAAACUUGCAUGUAGUGUUUUGUUAUGACUUCUACUAUCCGUGCCAGGAUUUCUUUUCGGGGGAGCCGACCUAACUGCUCCAAAUCGAAAAAAAGUUUGAAAUUGUGCCUAAGACAAAAUUAUUGUAAUGGGGAUGGAGGGUGCAAAAAUCAAAAAUAUGGACAAAAAUAAUAAAUUAUGGCCCUAA